GUCACCAGGGGAUCUUGCUAAAAUGCAGAUUCUGGUUUGGUAAAUUUGGGGUGGAGCCUAAGAUUCUGCAUUUCUACUAAGCUCCCAAGUGAUGCCAA
rnacentral:pre_miRNA from 1 species